rnacentral:rRNA from 1 species
CAGAAUAUGACGAAAGGUUUAGCGGUGAAGGAUGGGGAUGCGUCUGAUUAGCUUGUUGGUGAGGUAACGGCUCACCAAGGCGACGAUCAGUAGGGGUUCUGAGAGGAAGGUCCCCCACAUUGGAACUGAGACACGGUCCAAACUCCUACGGGAGGCAGCAGUGAGGAAUAUUGGUCAAUGGGCGAGAGCCUGAACCAGCCAAGUAGCGUGCAGGACGACGGCCCUAUGGGUUGUAAACUGCUUUUAUAUGGGGAUAAAGUGAGCUACGUGUAGUUUAUUGCAGGUACCAUAUGAAUAAGGACCGGCUAAUUCCGUG